AACUCGAAAUUAAAACAUUUUUUUCUAUAAACUGCAAUAACCACAUACGGAAACAUACUUAAAUUCUUGCUGUGUAUCCUUUGUACUUUGUCCAACGCCACGGCAAUUACUGUUCACGUUAAGAGAAUCUAUUUCUUCAAUAUGCCGGGUAAGAAAAGAAAUCCCUAUUUUGAAACAAAGGGUUUGCCGGAUAAUGAUACGGAAAUGGCGUAAGAUGAUAUUUAUAUCAAAUGGAGAAAAUAAAUGGACCAUGAUAAUCAAUAAGAUAUACAGAUAAGUCACUUUCGACUAUAAAGAAAAAGAUCCUAUAGAAUCACAAAAUCUGAUGUGGCUGAGUUGAACAGGACUAACACGAUAAAAAAAUUGGGAAAAAUUAUUUUGGAUCAAAUAGUCGUUAAGGAUGUGCGCUAUGAAGCAACCUUAAUUAACCCGGUAGUUCAUUAAAAGCCUUUCAGUUUUAU